GCGAGCUCCCCCACGGCCGCUGAGGGCCACGCGGCGACGCCUCAUGCCCGGUGGCUGUGCGCUGCACCGCUAGUGCGGUUUUGCCUCCCCAGCGCCUACGUCUACACCGCGCGCGCAGCCCACGGCCCUGCCGCCAUGCUCCUGCAUCUCCGCCUCCCUUCCUACAGAUAUGGCAAGGAGUAG
rnacentral:lncRNA from 3 species